GGGGUCGACUGGUUUUGACAGCGAGGUCUAUGGAUCAGUAAGCAUGUCGCGUCAUGAUAUUGAAACGCGUUAAAGGCGAUAUCAAAUUUUAAACGGCGAGAAUAACUACGCUUUAGCUGCUUAAUAAUCUGAAUUAUAGUAAGAUUUAAGCCUGGUCCCGCAAGGCGGGAAAGCUAAAUGUCUCUUGAAAGCCCUGGUAUACGGCGUUCAGCAUAGAGGCAUCGUAAAAGUAAACCUAGAGAAGAUAAUGCUUUGGUGUCUUCUCGAAAUUAAAAAGCUAAGUUAUAAGUAUGCAGUUUUCAGUGAGCUUAUGAUCGAAAACCAAAUGUAAACUAAGCAUGUAGAAAGCUCAUUUGUAGCUUGUUUGGACGCGGGUUCGAGUCCCGCCGACUCCACAA
rnacentral:tmRNA from 2 species